UGAGUCCCAGGAGAGGGAGCUGCUAGGAAGACCGGGAUUUCCAUCUCUCGCUCCGUUACACCAAGCUCACUCCAGCAACAGCUCACACCCUGUUAGUAAAGCUCAGCAGAAGGUAUGGUGACAUUUCUGAAGCAUUUACUUUGAGCCUUAAUGAACCAGUGACCAGUGCAGGGAAUGGCAGCUUCUUGCAUCCUUACAGCACAGAUGCCUUCUUGUGCCUGUUUGAGGGAUUCUACCAACAGCGAAUCUGUCACUGAAUCGGCUUAGGAAGAAUGAUUCACAGCCUUUAUCCUGAGCCUCUUUAGCUCCUGGACAUAGCGGGCAUUUCCCACCCCCUUUAAUCUCUCCUGACCACCAUUUCACGGAGGACCUGCGCACUCCUUGGGUCACUCCUGUCAGUCACCAUGGGAUGUGUGAUGUGUUCUCCCCUGCUGGAAGUGUGGAGCCUCUCCUGGAAGGAGCGCCGGAGGAGGAAUUGCAUGGAGCUGUCUCUGUUCCCCAGCUCGUGUCUCUCGCAGUACCAGCGGGUGUCGGGGUUGCAUUACCUGUCCUCCUUCUCGGAGGCAGAGGACUGUUGUGAGGAGAGUUCCGCAUCUGGAGACUCCGACUCUGAGACGACUUGAGUGCAGACGAUGCAACAUGAAACCACGGAAAACUGAACUGGAUUGCUUGUGUUAAAUCAAUCUCCUUGUGUGAUAUUUUUACUGCAGAAACAGGUCUCCCCCCCUUUGUUUUUCUUCCCUCGUACUUAAAACGACAACCAAAUGCAAGUGAAGAAGAAAUUAGCCAGGCUUUUGGGUUUGAUUGCUGUCCUGUAGUUUGGCUACGAUAUCAAUCAUAGCUAUGUAACCAGCUGGCUUUGAGAGUAGGCAGGAACUGCAGAUGCUGGUUUAAACCAAAGAUAGACACAAAAAGCUGGAGUAACGCAGUGGGACAGGCAGCAUCUCUGGAGAUGACCCGAAAUGUCAUCCAUUCCUUCUCUCCAGAGAUGCUGCCUGUCCCGCUGAGUUACUCCAGCUUUUUGCCUCUAUCUUUGGCUUUUAGAGUGUUCCUUUCUGGUGUAAGAGUGUCUCAAACCUUGCAUGAGUUAAGCUGGGUGAACAGCUUUCCAAGAGUCUUUGGAGUGGAGUGGCAGUACAAGCAAAAGAAGGACAUAGUGAAUGGACACUAGUUGAGACUUGCAUACAGGCUCAGGCCAUUUGGAUCACUGGAUUAGAUCAAUUGUGCACAACUCUCAGCUUGCAAAGUCACACACAGCCUAAUCGACACUUCCAAGCAAUAACUGGUACAAAACAUUUGUAACACACAAACACAGAGGGUAAGUUGGAUGGAUGCAGCCCAUAACCUGUUGAGACCCUCAGCAAUGGCGACUUUGACAAGUAGUUUGAGAACCAUCGAGUAUAAUGAAGACCGAUCCACUUCUGAACUCUAUCCAGCCACCUUGACUCUCGUAUCUAAAUGCCCCGUUACUCUCUCCAGAAUGAAAAGAACGACUAAAUUCCAAUAAAUAAACAGGUCAAUUAUCUAAGAUAUUAAAUGAUUUACUUGUUUGUUUUCUACCCUUUCCAAAUAUUCGAUUUGUCACUUUCCCAUUCAAGGGAUCAGUUUCCUGAAUCACAAAACACAAGGAGAAUUUGGACAGAUGCAUCAACAAUCUCCUCACCUUGUAGUAUCUUGCAUGGAAAUCCUUUGGUCUGAAAAGGGUUUCUAUCUAAAUUGUUUUUAUCAUACAAGUUAAUUUGGCUUUGUGCUUUUGUUGGACUGGCAGUUUUAUCUGAUUGGAGGAUUAGACAGUGGUGCAAUACUGCUUUCAUCAACUUAAAGCUAUAAGCCUGGACGUAUCCCUGCCAGCAGAGUCCGUGUGUGUGUGAUCUAAUAUAAAAAGCAGCAAUGAAUACAUUCUGGUCAUUAUGACUGGAUUAAGCUGCACCACUUGUCAGUCAACAGGUUAGUAUUGAAUACUAAUAUCAUUAAAGGGUUAAUUGUGGACUCCUUGUCAAUUCAUUUACAACUGAAGAAGUCCCCAAAGUAAUUGGCUCAAAGUCCUAAAAAUUCUUAAAUAUCAGAAGUGAUCUAAAGAUGAAAUAAUGUUGAAAUGGUGUAAUGUGUUCAUAAUACUUAAUAAAAGUUUACCACUAUU